UUUCUGGUGACAGAGUUGUCCUGCCUAUUGUGGAGAAAAAAGAAUGGGAAAUCUGGGAGGCAAGAUCGUUGCCUUACUGCUGGCCAUCUCCACAGUUGUAUCAGGUCAACCUACUGUCACCCAGGAUCACCAAUUUCUUUCAGUUAAGGAAGGAGACUCCAUCCAGCUGAACUGCUCCUAUCAGGAAACAGGAUACUCUCUUCAGUGGUAUAAGCAAUAUCCAGGAGACCGGCCAGAAUUCAUGAUGUUCCUGAUUACAUCGGGGACCGAAGAAAAGGAUCAUUUUGAAAUGAUUCUGGAGGCAGAUAAGAAGAUGACUUCUUUGCAUCUGAAGAACACUCAGCUUAAGGAUUCAGUUGUCUAUUUCUGUGCAUGGAGCACAGUGCUAGAAAGAUACCCGCUGGUUGUCAUCAAAGAUGUAGGGCAAGCAAGGAGAAGAUGUGUAUUUGCCCUCUGAAGAAAGAUCAGGAGAA